GAUAGUGAAAACAAGGACAGUAUGAUUUCUGCUUGGGUUUUGUUUUCCCAGUUGGUAGCUAACCAUUCAUCAGGAGUUAAAGCACAUGAAACAAACACACUAAGACACUGAACAUUUUUAACUGAUGAAAUAUAAUGAUAUUCAGAGCAGAGGGGACAGAAUCAGAAAAUACGACUACUCUCCCAAGGAGACACUAACAAGAAUCAACAAAUAAAGUGUGAGAUUAGCCAGGGAAUCAAGCAACUGGAGACCCAUUUUCAAAUGUCUCCAUGUGCCCAUCAUAUAACUUAGGGUAUCAACCUUAAAUUUUCACCAAAAAGAUACCAAGCUAAUGUAACUAAUAUAAUAAAGUAGGCUGUAAUCUAAUUAUGUGGUAUGGUUGCAAUGAGAGAAGGUUUUGGUGACUGAUAAGGAAUAUCUUUAAAAAAGAAAGAGAGAGAGAGAGAGAGAGAAAGAGAAACAGUUGAUAAUUUAAUCUCUAGUGUUUUCCAGCAUUUUCCAAAUGAUGCUACGAUUCUGCCAUUAUGGAUAGAAUUAUCUCCAUGAUGGAGAAAGAUAUUAAUAAUAGUUAAAAUUUAUAUUGAAACUGCUUCGUAGACAUUAUUUCACUUGAACCUCAUAAAUAUAAGGAAGUAAGAGUUAGUGUACAUAUUUUUAUCCUCCCUUUAUAUAUCCUCCCUUCUAUAGUAGCCUACAGAUUGUUGUUGUUGUUUUGUUUGAAUCAUGGUUAACUCUUCUUGACCCCAUUUGGGAUUUUCUUGACAAAGAUUCUGCAGUGGUUUGACAUUUCCUCCUCCAGUUCAUUCUACAGAUGUGGAAUUGAGACAAACAAGGUUAAGUGACUUACCCAAGGUAAUGAGCAUCAAAGAUGGGAUUUAAACCCAGUCUUCUGCUGCCUCUCUCAAGAACUGAAAACUUUUGGCCCAAAGGGAUUGUUAAAAAGUUCAAAGUUGCACAUCUCAUAAGGGGAAGAAUCAGGACUUGAACCUGAGUUUUCAGACUACAAUUCUACUGUGUUAACAUUAUCUUGAUGUUAAUAUCUUUUUUUGGGGGGGGGAGGUUGGGGGUGAAGAAGAUAAGAUAUUUCUGAUCCUUUGUUCACCAAGUAAGGUUUUUGUGAUCCAUAGUUUGCUUUUCUGAGAAUAUUGAACUACUGAGAUGGAAUGCAGAGUGUAUAUAUUGUAUAUUUGCAUAGAAAUGCAGCUAAGUAGAACAGAGUUUCAGGCCUGGAGUUGAGAAGACUCAUCUUUCUGAGUUCAAAUCUGACCUCAGGUACUUACUAGCUGUGUGAUGCUGGGCAAGUCACUUAACCCUGUUUGUCUGUUUCCUGUUCUGUAAAAUGAGUUGGAGAAGGAAAUGGCAAACCAUUACACUAUCUUUGCCAAGAAAACCCCAAAUGGGGCCAUGAAGAAUCAGACACAAUUGAAAAACAACUGAAAGAUACUUUACAUACCUCACUCACACACAAACUUAUACAAAGUAUACAUAUACUAGAAGAUAAAUCUGACAUAUACACCCAUGAUAAAUUAAUAAAAUAGAAUUCUUAGAUGACUUAGAAAUCAAUCAUGAGAGUUUGGUAGUUGUGAUUCAAUUUCCCUAAAACUUGACAAGUCUUGGGAAAUUUGUUAAAACAAAAUUUCUGUGCUCCUAAGGAGCUAAGGACUAGACCCCUCACCCAUGCUAACUUGCUUUUUCUUCUCUCUCUGGCCCACCAGGUAGGGCCUGAGGCCAAGGGAAAGCAAUGGAAGUUUAAAAAAAAAAAAAGAAAAGAAAGAAACUCUCCAUAUAGUAAAGUCAUGAAAGAGCUAUACUACUUAUUUUGGUAUUUUAGCAAUAUAACAUGAACUAGAUUUUUAAUCAAAGAUAAAAAAAAAUGAUUUUCUUCCCAAGUUCAUUCUGUUGCCAGCCAGGACUCAACUAUUUCUAUUUUCAUUCUUUUUCAGCUGUGUCUGACUAUUUAUGACCCCAUUUGGAGUUCAUGGCAAAGAUGUUAGAAUGGUUUGCCAUUUACAUUUUCACUUUAUAGAUGAGGAACUGAGGCAAACAGGGUUAGGUGACUUGCCCAUGAUUAUAGUAAGUGUCUGAGGCCAGAUAUGAAUUUAAGAAGAUGAGUUUUCCUGACUCCAGGACAAUGCUCUUUGCACAGCAUCACCUAGCUGCCUCAUCCCAUGCACUCUCUGAUGACUUUUGUCUAGUGCUCCUUUAAAAAUGUUUUCUCAGUUGCCCUUGUGAAUAUUCCACGGCACAGUCUAUGUCUAAAUCUCAUUGUUGUUGGACUCAAUACUGUCAGGGCUGACCUCUGAACUAAGGCUUUGAAAUACAUCAUCCUAACUAAAAGCAGCUACCAUAUAUCAUUGAUAUAUGGUGAACUCAGAGAACUAUUUAAAAUACUUCCUGAUGCUAUUUAAAGGAAACAUACUAUAAACACAAACCUUAAAUGGUUCCUUUUUGGCUGUUCUGCUAGUCCAUUGCCCUAUAAUUCAGAGUGGUUUCCUAAACUGUAAAACAGAGAGAAUGAUGCUUGGCUAUUUACUAUCUGAAUAUUACACAGGGAUUCACAAAAACAAUGGUUAGCAUGUGCUAUAAAUUCAGGGGAAAAGAGAUAUAGUUAACCUCAAUAUAGCUGAGGUUUUUACUGAACAAAUAUUAUUCUCAACUUUAUUAACAGCUUAUAAUUGGUUAACGUAAUUACUUGAUCUUUUGCUAUCUUUGCUCUUCUCUUUCUUUGCUUAUUCUAUAGGUAAAGUCUUUGAAAACUCAACAAUGAAAAUUUUAUUUUUGCUCCAAAAUAGGUUUGAUCAAGUGUAGCUUUACUUAGCUUGGUACAUUGAGGAGUCUCUCCUUCUUGAUCUUACUGUGUAUUACAUUAGAAAUACUUAAUUUUUAUUUAUAUAGGUGCACAUUGUGUUUCCUAAUGCAAUUUAAAAUUCUAGAAGUCAGAGGCUGUUUUGCUUUUAUCUUAUUUUCAAGACUUAGAUGCUCAGUGUUUUGCAAGUAGGUGCUUAAUAGAUGUUAAAUAACUGUCCCAUCUGAUCCCACUUAGCUUUGAUCUCCAAUUAUUGCCUUUAUACAAAGACACUUCAAUAUACAUAAUUACAUGCUUUAAAAUAUCCCAAUUUCCUUCUCAGAUCUUCAUUCUCAUGACUUAUUCCUCCACUGGACUUCAGAAACACACAAGGAUGGUCAUAUUCUUACCUUUUCCAAACUCAUAUUAUUUCCAUGUUUAAGAACACUGAAAUUCCUUCACCUCAUCAGAUAAUCUUUAAUCAAUUUUACUACUCCUAACCCUAUUUCCUGACCUUACUGUGACUUCCAAUACCUCCAUCAGUACUUUCCCAGCUAUCCCCAUGACUCUGGUUACAUUUUCCACCCUUCCUAAUUUUGAUCACUUUGUGAAUCAGUUCAACUCUACCAGUUCUUAAUCCCUUACUUUCUUGUUUUAUAAAAGAUUCUACCUUGUCAGACCCCCUCCUAGAUUUAUUCCUGUGUUGCUCUAGAGGCUGUCACAAAACUAUGCUGUCAGUAUUUACUACAAAUUUAAGUUAUCUGAUUUUAACUGGGCCCUCACUAUAACAAAGUAAUCCUAUUUUGGCCUCUGAUAGGACCCCUCAUUAUUCCUCUCUUGGGAAGAAAUAGCCUUUUUCCUCUACAAGAUCAACUCCUCUACGUCUUCCCUUAAUCCUUUCUCUUCAGUUUUUUUCUAAUUUAUGCCUAAUUUCUUACUUUCAGUCUCUUCCUAUCUAUUGAUUCCUUCCCUGUUUUUUUUUUUUUUUUAACAGAUAUGCUUAAUAAAGUCUCUCCUAGCCUUUAAAAAAAAAGGUCUUCCAUCCAUCUUUAUAUAUCUCUUCCCCUUACCUUCUCAGUUAAACUCUUUGAAAAAGCUGUCUAUAAUCAAUUACUCCAUUCCUUCUCCUUUAAUUUGUUUCUAAUCUGGCUUUCAAUCUCAUCAUUCAACUAAAACUUCUCUCUCUCCAAAGUUAUAAAAUUUCCAAUAGGCAAGUCUAAUGUCUGGUACUCACUCCUCAACUUGACUUCUAUGGCACUGACAUUUUCACCACUUUUUUUUUCCUUCUUGGAUAUUCUCUCCUUUGGAUUUCUCUGACUUUGUUCUCUCUGGGUUCUCUUUUUAUUUCUUCUGGAUCUGCACUUCCCUAUCUGGGCCCUUCUCUUUUUUUCCUCUCUAUAGUUUUUGAUCUUGUUAGUUCCUUUGAGUUCAGUUGAACCUCUGGAAGAUUCCUAAAUAUAGGCUGUACAUAAAUGUAUACAAAAAUGUAUAUAAAUGCAGAUUGAUAUAUGUAUAUAUAUAUAUAUACAUAUUAUAGAGAGAUAUCAAGCAAUAUAUAGCUAUAUAUUGAUAUCGAUAGAUCUGCAGCUCUAGUUCUAGUCUCACAUUAUUGCUGUUCAGUCAUGUCCAAAUCUUCAUAAGCCUAUGAACCAUUCUAUCUAAGGGAUUUUCUUGGGAAAGAUAAGGGAAUGAUUUCCCUCUCCAGGAGAUUAGGGCAAACGGAGGUUUAAUAGUUUUUUCAGGCUCAUACAGCUAAUGUCUUAGGAAAAAUUUGAACUCAGUUCUCCCUCAUUCCAAGCCCAGUAUUCUAUUCACUGAGCCAUUUAGCUAUCUCUUCCAAUAUCACCAAUUACCUAAUGGAUAUUUCACACUAGAGGUCCUCUAAGUAUUUUAAAGUCAACAUGUCCAAAACACUUCAUUGUCUUUCCCUUCAUAUCCAUUUCUCUUCUCAAGUUCCCUAUUCCUACUGAAGAAAUCAUCAUCUUUCCCAUCACCUGGUUCCCAAGUCUAGUAUCAUCCUUGAUUUUUCUCUUUCACUUACUCUAGGUAUCUGAUUUGCUUCUAAGUCUUGUUGAUUCUAUCUCCAUAAUAUUGCUUAUUCUACACUGCCUUCUCUCUAUUCACACAACUAUUGACUUGGUUCAGACCCUCAUCUCUUCUCACCAGCACUAUUGGUCUUCUCAGUGGUCUCCCUCCCUCAAGCUCUCCCUACUGUAUUCCAUUUUCCAUGCAGCUGCCAAAGUGAUUUUUAAAGGCUGGUCUGCCUUGUGAUCCCUCUCCUCUUUUCAAGCUCCAGUAGCUACCUGUUACAGGCUACAGGAACCUGUCUAGGCUCAAAUAUAAUCUCUUCUCUUGGACAUUUAAAGUUCAUUAAAACUCUCUUUUCUUCUGCUGGUCUUACACAUUAUUCCUUUCACACAUUUUAGGCCAGAGUGGGUUAGGGCUUAUUAGGGCUAAGCAUGGAGGAAAAAAAAUCAGAGACCUUUUCCUCUACAGAAUCACAUUCUAAUGGAGGAAAUAGUAUGUAAAUAAGUAUGUUCUAGCUAUAUAGAAUAAAUAGAAAAGGCCUCAGGUAGAAGGGUGGGGUUUGAAGAAGGUAGAAAUUACCUGGAGGUAAAUGAAAAAAGAGAACUGUUCAGAAAACCUUGGUUCCCCUACCUCUGGGCAAACUGUCAAGGGUAAUAUAGCAUUUUUUUUUCUCUCUGUCUCUGUCUCUGUCUCUCUCAAGAGUAACAUUUUCUUUUAGGGUAAUAGAGUAUUUUCGUUCUUUCUCUUCCUCUCUCUCGCUUUCUUUUUAAAAUAGAACAUUUUCUAAGAUUUCUUUGGCCUUAGUUCAGGGAAAGGGGUUAUGGUCUUUUUACAGUGUGAAUGCAUUCCCGAAGGAGAGUCUUUCGAGGACCCUCCCUCCGGAAUCCAGAAGCUCCCAGCAAAAGAACUUUUAAUUCUUAAUGUCCCAGUGGGGGUGGGGAGGCGGUGAGAGGGGGAGAAAAGGGGAAAACCGGGAAAUGGAGGACAAUGAAGCAAAUCCUGUGUUCUUAACACUCGCCUGCUGCUAGCAACCAGUAUUCUAGACGCUUCCUAAUGCCAGGCGAAUGCCCCCGUGCCCGGGCAUGUCUAACUUGGAGAUCUAUUCAGCUGAUAUUAGGCGGGGAGCAAACCGGAGGGAGAGCUCUCCCCUUGCUAACCAAACAUCACAGCGCUCUCAGGAGGGUCUAAGGAUGUAAAAGUUUAUUUCACUUGUUAUAACUGGAGAGUUGCUGGCUUUAAAGUUCCUUUUUUUUAAAGAGACACCCAAGUAGCUGCAAACGGUGGAUUUCCCGAGGUGAGGUUACUAUGCAAAUCCAGGGAGGGGAGGAUCUGAGAACUAGUCAUUUAAAUAAAUAAAUAAAAGCCCCAGGCACUUCAUUACUGGAAAUGAUGCAAGAUGCUUCCACUUAACUGAGAACGUAAAACUAAACAAAUCCGAGGCGGUGUGGAGCAGCUGCUCUCCAAACGGAACCACAGCCUGAAACCGACUCAGCCAACGGCUCUGCAUUUUACCUUUCCCCUCCUCCCCAGUCCGGCCAAGAGCCUGGCAACCAGCAACAUGGCAACUCGUAGCUGUAACGUGAAGAGUGUGUGUGCUUUUUGGAAGGAGGGCUUUAAAACACAAUGAAAUUGAGGACUGUUUCUUGCAACCCUGCUCUCUAGAGUCCCCCAGUGGCCGCUGUGGGAGUAUUACUGAUGUGCUUCAAAGCACCCGAUUCCGUGCUCCCACUUUUCUCAGCUGCGGGAAGGAAGAUUUGGAGAGAGGCAAAGCUUGCUUUUAAUAAGAAGUCCCUUGCUCUCUGAGGAACCUUCAAUCUAUGAAGAAAAAUCAGAAGAGUUUUUGUACAGUAGCCAUUGUAUUGGCUACAGUGUUUAUCUGGUUUAAAAGACUCAGCUUGAGCUGUAUUGCUGUGAUCUCCAUGAUGGUUGGACAACCAAAAUCUGGGUAAGUGAAAUAACUGGUUAGGCUGAUCUAUAUAGCUUAGAGAUAGUGGAUGAGUUUUUUUUUUUUUGGUAGUUCUCUGCAUUAAAAAAAGGACUGUUUUCAUAGCAAAUGGUCACACUUUCCAGAUACUCUUUUAAAGCUGAUUGCAAAUUUUAUACAUUUGUAAAGGUUAUGCUGGAGCAAAGAAGAGGAGAAUUUGCCCAGCUAAAGAGUGCCAAAGGACAACAGUCAAGCAAUGGGCAGAAAAACAAUUUUGCUGAUGCAGAUGUUUGUAAAUGGACUGAUUACAUAAAAGCCUGCAGAGUUGUAAGUGACCUUCAACACAUGGGUUUUCCUCUCUUAUAUGGAUCCCUUUUAGAUUCCUGAAAGUCUUCAUCACAGAUAUUAUGGAUGUUGUGGGAAAGUAUGAUCUAAUUUCUAAAUUCUAAAUUUAGAUAUAUAUUGUGAUGUAUUUAUUAUUCCUGCAUUGACUUUUAUACACAUAACUGUGAUGUUAUUUCUUUUGUCUUAUUAAGUAAAUUAUUAUAUUUAAGAUUUAAAAGUGUCAUUAUUUUGAUUAUCUCUGUGUAAGAAAUGGCUAAUUGAGUGAAUGGGAAAUGCACCAGUGGGGGCUCAAUGGCUAGAGUGGUGAGUAGGAGUACAUUUUCUUUCAACUGGGUCACUCCUAGUAUCUCAAUAAAAUUAUGGUGCAACUGUGUGUUGAUGAUUAUUUCUGCUAAUCAAGACUCUUGAGGGUGAAGACAAGGUGGCGUGAAAAUAUUCCAAUGCAAAGCAGCUACCAUUUUCAUGCCUCAUGUAAGGAAUAAUAUAUAGUGUAUUACAACCAUGGGUGGUUAUACCACCUCGCCAUACCAUAUGUAUGUGUGGGAUUUUGUCUAUAUGUACCAAAAAUGCUACUUUGGGUGUUUAAUCUUCAUUGCCCUGUGGGGAAAAUUAUUAAUUAUAGCAUUGUUUGAAUCUAGCCUUGCAUAGCAAGAAAUCAGACUUGUAUUGCGUAGAGACUAGACUUGUUUAUUGUAUAAGUCAGGACCUGCAGGUCAUGCUGACCUGAGAAACCUUCUAAGGGAUCCAAAAAGUGAUGCAAGGAAUUUCCCAUUUCCUGAGAUAUACAUUUUAGGCGAUCUAUUUGUUGUAUUUGGAAAUUCAUCACAUGUAGGCCAAUCAGAGAACUAUUUCCUUGCUCCUUUGAAUGAAUCCUAUAUAACAAGUAACUCAGAGAAAUUUGGGGGAGUAGGUCACUUAUAUUGGUUCUCCCCUUUGUGGACAGCUUAAUGAAUUAUCUUUUUGGUCAUCUUAUACCUUACUUCUCACCAUGUACUUUUUGAUCCAAUGAUACUGAUUUCUUUGCUGUUCCACAAACAAGACACUCCAUCUCUCAGUUCUGGCCAUUCUUUCUGGCUGUCCCUCGUGUCUACAAUGCUUUCUUUCUUAUACUAUAACUACUAACCUUCCAGACUUCCUUAAAUUCUUAGAUAAAAUCUCACCUUUUAUAUGAAAUUUUUCUCAACCUUUCUUCAUUCCAGUACUUUCCCUAUUUUCAUGAUUUUCUAUUUAUCCUAUAUAUAGCUUGCUUUGUGUGUAUAUGUUUGCAUGUUGUCCUUCCCAUGUCCUCAUUAGACUGUAAGCUUCUUGAGGGCUUGGGAUUGUCUUUUGCUUUUUGUAUUCCUGGUGCUUAACACAGGGCUUGACACAUAGUAGGCACCAUUUAUUAAAUUGAAUUCUAAAACUCAGUUCUGGUUUUGUUCUCAAUCUACAGAACUCAUUUCCUGAACUACUCCUGAAAUCUCUAUUUUCCUUCAAAGUUCAAAUUCUAUCUCUUAUAUGAAGCUUCUCCUCCACCUCUAUCUCACGUGAUGAAUUGGCCUUCUUUAUCAAGACUAAAUCCUUUUUGUUCAAUUGAUUCCAUUUUGUUCUGUCUCCUCCAACAGAUUCUGCUGUCGUCUUCUCUCUCUUACUUAUUUUCAAUCUCCCCCUCUACUGGCUCAUUCCUUACUGCCUUACAAACAUACCCAUGUUCUCCUUUUGAAUCCCUGCUAACUUUGUCCUAUAUCUUUUCUGCCCUCUGUAACUAAACUCCAUGAAAAUAUCAUCCACAAUAGGUGUCUACACUUCCUCUGCUCUUACUCUUUUUAAUCCUUUAUGAUCUGGCUUCAAACUUUUAUCCUUCCAUCAAAACUGCUUUCUCCAAAGUUUUCAAAGCUGCCAAAUCCAAUGGCUUUUUAAACUCCUCAUUCUUCUUAGCCUCUUUGCUGGCUUUGAUCUCUUGAUAACUUUCUUCCCCCUGAUAUUUUCUUUUUCCCUAGAUUUUUCAGAUUUUCUUCCUAUGUAUCUAUCUGAUUGCUCCUUUUCUGUCUCCUUCACUGUAUCCUCUUCUCUAUCAUGUUCUCUAACAUUAGAUGUUCCUCAGAGAUUGUUUUUUUCUCCCUCUAACUACUUUCUCAUCAAUUCUCAUGGAUUUAAUUAUCAUCUCUAUGCAGAUGAUUCUCAAAUUUAUCCUGCUCUAAUUCUCUGCUGACCUUCAGUCUUCUAUUUCUAACUGCCUUUAAGAUGUCUCAAAUCAGAUGUCCAGUAGACAUCUUAAGAUCAACAUGUCCAAAAUGGAAUCCAUUAUCUUUCACUCUAAAUCUUGUCCCCCAUCUCCUAUCUUCCAUAUUACUGUAAAAGGCAAUGCCGUUUUCUUAGUUCCCCAGACAUAACCAGGAAUCAUCCUGGAUUCCUUGUCCUCUCUCACUUCCCCAUAUCCUCUCUGUUGCCAGUCAAUUUCACUUUUGCAGCAUCUCUGGAUUACAUCCCCUUCUUCCUUCUGACAUUGCCAUCACUGUGGUACAUGAUCUUAUCACCUCACAGUUCGAUUAUUGCAAUAGUCUGCUGGUGAGGGGGGUGUCAGCCUUCCUUAAGCCUCACCCUACUUCAUCUUCCUCCAUUUAGUCUCUAAGGUGAUUUUCCCAAAGUUCAGGUUUAUCUCCUCCUCUUCCCUAUUCAAUGGCUCCAGGAUCAAAUACAAAAUACUCUUUUUGACGUUCAAAGCCUUUUAUAACAACUCCACCCAACUUUUCAAUUUUCUUAUACUUUACUACUUUACACAUACUCUGAUUCAGUGACACUAUUUUGUGAACCAGAUACUCCACCUCUUGACUGGGCAUUUUUGCUAAUUGUCCCUCUUGCCUGUAACAUUUCUUUUCCCCUUCUACUCUUUCCCCUGACUUUCCUUUUAAGUGCCAACUAAAAUUCCAUCCCCUACAGGAAGCCUUCCCCAACUUUGCUCAAUUCUAAUGCCUUCCCUCUCUAAAUUAUUUCAUAUUUUUCCUAUACAAAGCUUGUUUUGUAUAUAUUUAUUUAAGUGUAAUUUCCCCCAUGGGAUUGGAAUUGUGAGCUUUUUGAGGCCAGAGACUGUCUUUUCCCUCUUUUUGUAUUCUCAGUGUUUGGCACAGUACCUGGAAUAGGUGCAUAAUAAAUGUUUAUUUAUUGAUGAUUCAGAAAUCUAUCUAUCCUGCCUUAUUCUUUCUGUUAUCCUUCAAUCAUAAAUCUCCAAUUGCCUUUUAGAUAUCUCAAAUUGCAUGUCCAACAGACUUCUUAAACUCAAAUAUUCCAAAGGGAACUAAUUAUUUUUCACCCUAAAUCCUUCUUGCCUUCUUUUAACUUCUCAGAUUACUAUAGAGAGCAAUCCUUCUAUCUUCUAGCACAAUGUCAUCCUCAUCUUUUCACUCUUACAUUCCCAAUAUCUAAUCUGUUGCCAGAUUCUAUUUAUUUCACCUUGAACAAUGUUUUGGUUUUUUUUUUUUUUUUAAUCUCUUUAAUAUAUCCCUUUCUCUCCUCUGUUGCUAUCACUUUGGGGUAGGCCUUUAUCACCUCAUGUUUGGACUACUGAAAUAUCCUCCUGUUGGGUCUGCCUGUCCUAAUGAUGUAGUUCAGCUCCUAGGGAGGAUAUAGCAAUAACCCUAAGAUCACCUGACCUUGGAAGUGAUGUAAUUAGAAAUGAUAUAUUUCUUCCCCUAGGCCAUCCUGCCCCAGUUUACUCUAUAUGACUAGGAUACUAAGGCCACAAAUAUUGCCGGCUGUCAGAUAACAGCCUGUUGGUCAGUGAUAACAGAGUUUCUGAAACUAAAGAGCAACAAUAAUGAAGUAUUUAAAGUUAACUAAUGUGCAGAACAAAACUGAGUGUCCUCUAUUUGACCUAGUGACAUUUCAGGCCUAAAAACACACCUUCUGAAGGUUCCCCAUGAACUCUGCCCAGAGAACUAUGGGUACUGCAUUUGUGCACAAAGUCAGAACUAGACCCCUCCACAACUCCACCUCUAAGCCAUAAAAGUAACAUAUUACUGACAUGAAGCACUUGGUCCUUCUCACUUUUCCCUGUAAAUUUACUUUCUUGCACUUGGUUUUGUGCUAAAUUUUUUUGGAAUUUAGCCUACUUUAUUUGGUGUCACAAUUAUAUUAAACUUUGCCCCUUGACUUGGAGAUGGAUCUAAGUCUGCAAAUUAUUUUGAGAUGCCUCUCAACACUAGUCUAGAACCCUAACAUUUUGGGUCCUUCUUGAGCCCCCAAACUAAGUUUCUUCCUAUUCCAGUCUAUCUUCCAUUCAGCCACUGAAGUGAGUUUUCCAUAUUGUCUUUUUCUUUGAUUAACUCCAAUGAUUCCCAGUAACCUCCAGAAUUAAGUACAAAACUCUCUGGCAUCCAUUUUCUAACAGAUAAAUGUUAAAAGGAAAUGAACAGACAAUUUUCAGAUGAUGAAAUUAAAACUAAUUCUACUCAUAUGAAAGAGUGUUCCAAAUCACUAUUGAUCAGAGAAAUGCAAAUUAAGACAACUCCAAGAUACCACUACACACCUAUCAGAUUGGCUAAGAUCACAGGAAAAGAUAAUGAAGAAUGUUGGAGAGGAUGUGGGAAAACUGGGACACUGAUGCAUUGUUGGUGGAGUUGUAGUAGCUAGAAACUGGAAAUUGAAUGGAUGCCAAAUUGAAUGGUUAAAUAAGUUAUGAAUAUGAAUGUUAUGGAAUAUUAUUGUUCUGUAAGAAAUGACCAACAUGAUUUCAGAAAGGCUUGGAGAGACCUACAUGAACUGAUGCUAAAUGAAAUGAGCAGAACCAGGAGAUCAUUAUACACUUCAACAGCAAUACUGUAUGAUGAUCAAUUCUGAUGGAAGUGGCUAUCUUCAACAGUGAGAGGAUCCAAAUCAGUUCCAGUUGAUCAGUAAUGAACAGAAUCAGCUACACCCAGAGAAAGAACAUUGGGAAAUGACUGUGGACCACAACAUAGCAUUUGCACUCUUUCUGAUGUUGUUUGCUUGCAUUUUUGUUUUUCCUCCAGGUUACUUUUACCUUCUUUCUGAAUCAGAUUUUUCUUGUGCAACAAGAUAACUGUAUAAAUAUGUAUACAUUUAUUGUAUUUAACAUAUAUUUUAACAUGUUUAACAUGUAUGGGACUGCCUGCCAUCUAGAGGAGGGAGUGGAGGGAGGGAGGAGAAAAGUUGGAUCAGAAGUUUUUGCAAGGGUCAGUGUUGAAAAAUUACCCAUGCAUAUGUUUUGUCAAUAAAAAGCCAUAAUAAAAAAAGAAAAGAAAUAUCUUUAUAAAAAUAAAUUAAAAAUACACACACACAUAUAUA